rnacentral:rRNA from 1 species
GACGAACGCUGGCGGCGUGCUUAACACAUGCAAGUCGAACGGAAAGGCCCUGCUUUUGUGGGGUGCUCGAGUGGCGAACGGGUGAGUAACACGUGAGUAACCUGCCCUUGACUUUGGGAUAACUUCAGGAAACUGGGGCUAAUACCGGAUAGGAGCUCCUGCUGCAUGGUGGGGGUUGGAAAGUUUCGGCGGUUGGGGAUGGACUCGCGGCUUAUCAGCUUGUUGGUGGGGUAGUGGCUUACCAAGGCUUUGACGGGUAGCCGGCCUGAGAGGGUGACCGGCGACAAUGGGACUGAGAUACGGCGCAGACUCCUACGGGAGGCAGCAGUGGCGAAUAUUGCACAAUGGGCGGAAGUCUGAUGCAGAAACGCCGGGGGCGGGAUGACGGCCUUUGGGUUGUAAAACGCUUUCGCCUGUGACGAAGCGUGAGUGACGGUAAUGGGUAAAGAAGCACCGGCUAACUACGUG